rnacentral:rRNA from 1 species
UGCCAGCAGCCCCGGUAAUAUGGACGGAUCUUGCGUUAUUCGGAAUUACUGGGCGUAAAGCGAGCGUAGGCGGAUUUGUAAGUUGGAGGUGAAAUCCCAGAGCUUAACUCUGGAACUGCCUUCAAAACUACAUUUCUUGAGUUUGGUAGAGGAGAGUGGAAUUCCUAGUGUAGAGGUGAAAUUCGUAGAUAUUAGGAGGAACACCAGUGGCGAAGGCGACUCUCUGGGCCAAUACUGACGCUGAGGUUCGAAGGCGUGGGUAGCGAACAGGGUUAGAUA